CGGGGCGUAGCGCAGCCUGGUAGCGCACCUGCCUUGGGCGCAGGGGGUCGGAAGUUCAAAUCUUCUCGCCCCGACCA
rnacentral:tRNA from 2 species